AACGAACGCUGGCGGCAGGCUUAACACAUGCAAGUCGAACGCACCUUUCGGGGUGAGUGGCAGACGGGUGAGUAACGCGUGGGAAUCUACCCUUCUCUACGGGAUAGCUCCGGGAAACUGGAAUUAAUACCGUAUACGUCCUGAGGGAGAAAGAUUUAUCGGGGAAGGAUGAGCCCGCGUUGGAUUAGCUAGUUGGUGGGGUAAAGGCCUACCAAGGCGACGAUCCAUAGCUGGUCUAAGAGGAUGAUCAGCCACAUUGGGACUGAGACACGGCCCAAGCUCCUACGGGAGGCAGCAGUGGGGAAUAUUGGACAAUGGGCGCAAGCCUGAUCCAGCCAUGCCGCGUGAGUGAUGAAGGCCCUAGGGUUGUAAAGCUCUUUCAGUGGGGACGAUAAUGACGGUACCCACAGAAGAAGCCCCGGCUAACUUCGUG
rnacentral:rRNA from 1 species